AUUGAACGCUGGCGGCAGGCCUAACACAUGCAAGUCGAGCGGAGCGGCGGACGGGUGAGUAAUGCCUAGGACUCUGCCUGGUCGUGGGGGAUAACGUUCGGAAACGGGCGCUAAUACCGCAUACUAUCAGAUUAGCCUAGGUCGGAUUAGCUAGUUGGUGGGGUAAAGGCCUACCCAGGCGACGAUCCGUAACUGGUCUGGGAGGAUGAUCAGGCACACUGGAACUGAGACACGGUCCAUACGCCUACGGGAGGCAGCAGUGGGGAAUAUUGGACAAUGGGCGAAAGCCUGAUCCAGCCAGGCCGCGUGUGUGAAGAAGGUCUUCGGAUUGUAAAGCACUUUAAGUUGGGAGGCGUUACCAACAGAAUAAGCACCGGCUAACUUCGUGCCAGCAGCCGCGGUAAUAC
rnacentral:rRNA from 1 species